rnacentral:misc_RNA from 1 species
AAGUCGUAACAAGGGGAUUGCAAUCUCUGGUAAAUCAAUGUGGGAUGAAAGCAGUUUGAUUAAGAGACCUCUGGCCUGUGAGAAAAUUGGAACAGUUACAAUUCGAGCGGUAGGUUUAUAGGCCUUGUUUGCCCAAGCAGUCAGUGUCUGAAAGCGUCAUUGAUUGCGCAAGGAUAGCGCUUCACGAUUCCUGUAGACCGUACACUCGGGCAGGAGUUUAUUGCAAAGCUCAAUGUAAUACAUUGGGUAAAACAACUUGAACAACUGUUAACAAUGGAUAUCUUGGUUCUC